rnacentral:rRNA from 1 species
UACGGGGGGGGCAAGCGUUGUUCGGAAUUACUGGGCGUAAAGGGCUUGUAGGUGGCCAACUAAGUCAGACGUGAAAUCCCUCGGCUUAACCGGGGAACUGCGUCUGAUACUGGAUGGCUUGAGUGUGGGAGAGGGAUGCGGAAUUCCAGGUGUAGCGGUGAAAUGCGUAGAUAUCAGGAGGAACACCGGUGGCGAAGGCGGGUCUCUGGGCCGAUACUGACGCUGAGGAGCGAAAGCGUGGGGAGCGAACAGG